GCCGUGGUUCAGUGGAAGAGCAUCCAUUUGGCAUGCAGAAGGCCCAAGUUCAAUAUUUGGCAGCUUCA
rnacentral:tRNA from 1 species